rnacentral:rRNA from 1 species
AACGAACGCUGGCGGCAUUCCUAACACAUGCAAGUCGAACGAGACCUUCGGGUCUAGUGGCGCACGGGUGCGUAACGCGUGGGAACCUGCCCUUAGGUUCGGAAUAACUCCCCGAAAGGGGUGCUAAUACCGGAUAAUGUCUUCGGACCAAAGAUUUAUCGCCUUUGGAUGGGCCCGCGUUGGAUUAGCUAGUUGGUAGGGUAAAAGCCUACCAAGGCGACGAUCCAUAGCUGGUCUGAGAGGAUGAUCAGCCACACUGGGACUGAGACACGGCCCAGACUCCUACGGGAGGCAGCAGUGGGGAAUAUUGGACACUGGGCGAAAGCCUGAUCCAGCAAGGCCGCGUGAGUGAUGAAGGCCUUAGGGUUGUAAAGCUCUUUUACCCGGGAUGAUAAUGACAGAACCGGGAGAAUAAGCUCCGGCUAACUCCGU